rnacentral:rRNA from 1 species
UACGAAGGGGACUAGCGUUGUUCGGAAUCACUGGGCGUAAAGCGCACGUAGGCGGAUUCGUAAGUCAGGGGUGAAAUCCCGGGGCUCAACCUCGGAACUGCCUUUGAUACUGCGGGUCUUGAGUCCGAUAGAGGUGGGUGGAAUUCCUAGUGUAGAGGUGAAAUUCGUAGAUAUUAGGGAGAACACCGGUGGCGAAGGCGGCCCACUGGAUCGGUACUGACGCUGAGGUGCGAAAGCGUGGGGAGCAAACAGG